UGGUAGAUGCACCCUGAUAACUUGCUCCCCUAGUUAACUGUCGGUUGCUAGGGGAUUUUUUA
rnacentral:sRNA from 1 species